rnacentral:rRNA from 1 species
UGUGUAGGCGGUUCCUUAAGUUUGCUGUGAAAUCUCCCGGCUUAACCGGGAGGGUGCGGUGAAUACUGAGGGACUAGAGUACGGGAGAGGAAAGUGGAAUUCCUGGUGUAGCGGUGAAAUGCGUAGAUAUCAGGAGGAACACCGGUGGUGUAGACGGCUUUCUGGACCGUAACUGACGCUGAGACACGAAAGCGUGGGUAGCAAACA